UACGUAGGGGGCUAGCGUUGUCCGGAAUCAUUGGGCGUAAAGAGCGCGUAGGCGGCCCGGUAAGUCCACUGUGAAAGUCAAAGGCUCAACCUUUGAAUGUCAGCGGAUACUGCCGGGCUAGAGUCCGGAAGAGGCGAGUGGAACUCCUGGUGUAGCGGUGGAAUGCGCAGAUAUCAGGAGGAACACCAAUAGCGAAGGCAGCUCGCUGGGACGGUACUGACGCUAAGGCGCGAAAGCGUGGGGAGCGAACAGG
rnacentral:rRNA from 1 species